rnacentral:rRNA from 1 species
UACGGGGGGAGCAAGCGUUGUUCGGAUUUACUGGGCGUAAAGGGCGCGUAGGCGGUCAGCACAAGUCAGUUGUGAAAUCUCCGGGCUUAACUCAGAAAGGUCAACUGAUACUGUGCGACUAGAGUGCAGAAGGGGCAACUGGAAUUCUCGGUGUAGCGGUGAAAUGCGUAGAUAUCGAGAGGAACACCUGCGGCGAAGGCGGGUCGCUGGGCUGACACUGACGCUGAUGCGCGAAAGCCAGGGGAGCGAACGGG